CCUACGGGAGGCUGCAGUGAGGAAUAUUGGUCAAUGGGCGCUAGCCUGAACCAGCCAAGUAGCGUGAAGGAUGACUGCCCUAUGGGUUGUAAACUUCUUUUAUAUGGGAAUAAAGUGCAGUAUGUAUACUGCUUUGCAUGUACCUUAUGAAUAAGGAUCGGCUAACUCCGUGCCAGCAGCCGCGGUAAUACGGAGGAUCCGAGCGUUAUCCGGAUUUAUUGGGUUUAAAGGGAGCGUAGGGGGGUUGUUAAGUCAGUUGUGAAAGUUUGCGGCUCAACCGUAAAAUUGCAGUUGAUACUGGCAGCCUUGAGUACAGUAGAGGUAGGCGGAAUUCGUGGUGUAGCGGUGAAAUGCUUAGAUAUCACGAAGAACUCCGAUUGCGAAGGCAGCCUGCUGGACUGUAACUGACGCUGAUGCUCGAAAGUGUGGGUAUCAAACAGGAUUAGAUACCCGAGUAGUC
rnacentral:rRNA from 1 species